CUUGGCUGAAAUCCCAUCUACUGAAAUACUGGCACCGCUACAAAAUAACCCAAGAUUCUUUAGAACUAAGAGAAAAAAAUCAGGUUUGUCCAUGGAAGCACACGAAUGGCAGGACAGGAAGUAAAUCUUUGUUCCUCGUGAAAUGGGCUUUAAAACAGCCCAGAGCAAUGGGCUGGCCCAGAACUUGGGAGUCUCAAGUUUUCAUUCUCACCCACUGCGGAGUCUUCCUGGCUCCCAGGACCACGGCCUCGGGGGCCCAUGUGUACUAGGAGGGGCUGCACCUGGACAGUCCCUGGGGUCCAUUCCAGUCAAACGCCCCACCGUUCCAGGCCUCCCUUUAGCCUCAACAGCAUGAGGGCUCUGAGCACUCAUCUCUUCAGAAAACUCGCCGCUGUCUUCCUCAGAUGUGUCGUCCCGUCAGAAAAAAGAGCGGCCGGUCUUCCCUGGCAUUGGCGGUCUGGAACUCAUCGCGCAGCCGGAACUGCCACUCGUCCUCGAGCUCCAGGCGGACGACCGUCUGGCGCAGUGAGCUCCGGUCCUGACAGAUGACACACAACGUCGCACCUGCGUGGACAACGGCAGAGGUGUGGGAAGGGAAAAGAGUUGACAUCCACCACGUUCCACAUCACGCAGGAGUCAUCAGAGAUCACAAUGAAAGGCCAGAUGUCCUGCGGCUUGAUUCCCAGCUCCUCCUGCCGGUUCCGCUCGAGCUCCAGGUUAUGGUAGGACAGCUCCUUGAUGAGGAAAUGAG
rnacentral:lncRNA from 1 species